GUCGACGGUAACAUAUAUACUAGCUAUGCUAGAAGAUAGACGAGUGGCGGACGGGUGAGUAAUGCUUGGGAACUAUGCCUUAUGCGAGGGGGAUAACAGUUGGAAACGACUGCUAAUACCGCAUAAUGUCUUCGGACCAAACGGGGCUUCGGCUCCGGCGCAAAGAGAGGCCCAAGUGAGAUUAGCUAGUUGGUAAGGUAACGGCUUACCAAGGCGACGAUCUCUAGCUGUUCUGAGAGGAAGAUCAGCCACACUGGGACUGAGACACGGCCCAGACUCCUACGGGAGGCAGCAGUGGGGAAUAUUGCACAAUGGGGGAAACCCUGAUGCAGCCAUGCCGCGUGUGUGAAGAAGGCCUUCGGGUUGUAAAGCACUUUCAGUUGUGAGGAAAAGUUAGUAGUUAAUACCUGCUAGCCGUGACGUUAACAACAGAAGAAGCACCGGCUAACUCCGUGCCAGCAGCCGCGGUAAUACGGAGGGUGCGAGCGUUAAUCGGAAUUACUGGGCGUAAAGCGCACGCAGGCGGUUUGUUAAGCUAGAUGUGAAAGCCCCGGGCUCAACCUGGGAUGGUCAUUUAGAACUGGCAGACUAGAGUCUUGGAGAGGGGAGUGGAAUUCCAGGUGUAGCGGUGAAUGCGUAGAUAUCUGGAGGAACAUCAGUGGCGAAGGCGACUCCCUGGCCAAAGACUGACGCUCAUGUGCGAAAGUGUGGGUAGCGAACAGGUUAGAUACCCUGGUAGUCCACACCGUAAACGCUGUCUACUAGCUGUGUGUGCCUAUAAGGCGUGCGUAGCGAAGCUAACGCGCUAAGUAGACCGCCUGGGGGAGUACGGCCGCAAGGUUAAAAACUCAAAAUGAAUUGACGGGGGCCCGCACAAGCG
rnacentral:rRNA from 1 species